rnacentral:rRNA from 1 species
ACUUGUGAGCGUCCUAAGGUAGCGCGAUAAUUUGCUUUUCAAUUGAAGGAUGGUAUGAAAGGGUUAACGAAGAAGGUGCUGUGUCUAAAAAUUCAAUUUAAACUAACUUUAAGGUGAAGAGGCCUUUAUGUAAAAGAAGGACGACAAGACCCUAUGAAGCUUUAUCUUAAUUGGAGCUCUCAGGCUCUUAUACGAUUUUGAUGGGAGAUCAGUAGAAAGAAGUCUUCUACUAUCAUAUUAAUCUUACUAGUAUUUCCUAACUUUAUAUGUGUGGCUAGCUACUCUAGGGAUAACAGCGCAAUUUCUCCCGAAAGAUGGUAUUGGAGGGGAAGAUUGCGACCUCGAUGUUGGCUUUAGAUAUCCUAGAGGCGUAGAAGCUUCU